rnacentral:rRNA from 1 species
UACGUAGGGUGCGAGCGUUAAUCGGAGUUACUGGGCGUAAAGCGUGCGUAGGCGGCUAUGCAAGACAGAUGUGAAAUCCCCGGGCUUAACCUGGGAACUGCAUUUGUGACUGCAUGGCUAGAGUGUGUCAGAGGGGGGUGGAAUUCCGCGUGUAGCAGUGAAAUGCGUAGAGAUGCGGAGGAACACCGAUGGCGAAGGCAGCCUCCUGGGAUAACACUGACGCUCAGGCACGAAAGCGUGGGGAGCAAACAGG